GUGGGUAUCGGUUAGCAUUUUUUGUGACUUUAAGACGAGUAAUUAAAUUGCAGAAUGAGAGAGAAAAGAUCAAAAAGUCUAAGAACACAUGCAUAUCUACUUAUACAUAAAAAUAAAUCAUACCUUUAUAAGAUGGGAUACAGCACGAAGAGCAUCGGCAGAGCUUUUAGAAUCAUCUAAAAUAGUCGGUGCUUCCACGUGAAUACGCAUAUGUCCCUCGUAGCCAGAUCGUAACCAAGCAUUGAUAUGGGCUUCCGCUUCUUCCAUG